GGGUCAGUAGGUUGGUCGUGCCACCGGUACGUACUGGUCUCACUGAUUCCUCCUUCCUGAAGAACCGUAAUGCCAUCAAUUUGGUGUUGCGGGGAAACAGGACUGUUACUUUGAAAAAAUUAGAGUGUUUAAAGCAAGCUAACGCUUGAAUACAUUAGCAUGGAAUAAUGAAAUAGGACGAUCGAUCCUAUUUUGUUGGUUGCUAGGAUUGACGUA
rnacentral:rRNA from 1 species